rnacentral:misc_RNA from 1 species
UUACAGCUAAUGCACUAAUUAAAGGAUUCCAACACCCUUUUAUAUAUUGUCCCAAAUGGUGGUGCAUAUGUCAAAGCUUUGAUGUUUAAAUUAGAGCUACUUAUGAAGGAUAAAGGACUCAAAACAAUCUAGGCAUUGAAAUAGAGAUUUAACAUACAUUGCAUGUUUUCUAAUAGAUAAGAAGACUCAAAAUAAUUAGAUUGGAAGUACCUAAAAUCUACGAUUAGAUUUUAGUCAUCAAUCGUAACAUCAUUUUGAUUGAUUAUAGAAUCAAUUAAAUUAGUCUUCGGCUUCAAAAAUGUAUGCAACCAUAGGAAAAUGGAAGUGGUAUCUCAGGACUAACUGUCAGUUUGUAUCUCUUAGUUGGUUCGACUUGGUUAAUUUUG